rnacentral:rRNA from 1 species
AGUGAACGCUGGCGGUAGGCCUAACACAUGCAAGUCGAACGGCAGCACAGUAAGAGCUUGCUCUUACGGGUGGCGAGUGGCGGACGGGUGAGGAAUACAUCGGAAUCUACUUUUUCGUGGGGGAUAACGUAGGGAAACUUACGCUAAUACCGCAUACGACCUACGGGUGAAAGCAGGGGAUCUUCGGACCUUGCGCGAUUGAAUGAGCCGAUGUCGGAUUAGCUAGUUGGCGGGGUAAAGGCCCACCAAGGCGACGAUCCGUAGCUGGUCUGAGAGGAUGAUCAGCCACACUGGAACUGAGACACGGUCCAGACUCCUACGGGAGGCAGCAGUGGGGAAUAUUGGACAAUGGGCGCAAGCCUGAUCCAGCCAUACCGCGUGGGGGAAGAAGGCCUUCGGGUUGUAAAGCCCUUUUGUUGGGAAAGAAAAGCAGCAGGUUAAUACCCCGCUGUUCUGACGGUACCAAAAGAAUAAGCACCGGCUAACUUCGUG